rnacentral:rRNA from 1 species
GACGAACGCUGGCGGCGUGCUUAACACAUGCAAGUCGAACGGAAAGGCCCUGCUUGCAGGGUACUCGAGUGGCGAACGGGUGAGUAACACGUGGGUGAUCUGCCCUGCACUUCGGGAUAAGCCUGGGAAACUGGGUCUAAUACCGGAUAGGAGCCAUUUUUAGUGUGAUGGUUGGAAAGUUUUUUCGGUGUAGGAUGAGCUCGCGGCCUAUCAGCUUGUUGGUGGGGUAAUGGCCUACCAAGGCGGCGACGGGUAGCCGGCCUGAGAGGGUGGACGGCCACAUUGGGACUGAGAUACGGCCCAGACUCCUACGGGAGGCAGCGGUGGGGAAUAUUGCACAAUGAGCGCAAGCCUGAUGCAGCGACGCCGCGUGGGGGAGGACGGCCUUCGGGUUGUAAACUCCUUUCGCUAGGGACGAAGCUUUUUGUGACGGUACCUAGAUAAGAAGCACCGGCUAACUACGUG